rnacentral:sRNA from 1 species
ACACACUUUCUCCAACAAGGCCACACCUUCUAAUCCUGCCGCUCCCUGGGCCAAGCAUAUGCAAACCAUCACAGGGGGUAACUAGUAUCCUGAAGAAAUAACACUCACACCCUUAGGAAGAUUAUCCAAGCCAUUUGAACUCAUAAUAGAGAAGCACAGCUUGAUUCUGCGUGCAAAAAUCUACAAGUCACCUGGUUUGGAGCCACCAUGAGUGAUUUGCCUUUGUUUUUACACUUGAUCUUAGCCAAAGGGCCGAGAAGCAAUUGCCUUUGUUUUUAAAGAAAAGAUUCCAAACAAGGAAUGCAUAGGAUUCUGAUAGUUUAUAUCAUCCCUCAAACCUUCACUGCCUCUCCUCCAUCUCAGAAAACCGGAGUCAGUAAAUGGAUGUAUGAUGUCCAUGGUUUAGUUAAAACGAAGCUCCAAAUCUGUCCAGGUCUCUGCUGUAGCAAAGCUGCUGACAUAGUUGUCACGUACCUUCUAAGAGAUGCCCCGAGGCAUCGCAUGGACCUAAGGCAUCGGAGCCACAGGGCCUGUGUUUGCAUUUUAUACUUAACUGAGCCUUGUAAGUAAAGUGGUUCAACUUAGGAAGGUUUUCUAAGCUAGUGGGUAGAGCAGAAGAGAUUUCUUGUAAUAGUUAAUAACCAGGAAGCUCAGGCUUUCUGAUUAAUUGUGGCUUUCCUCCGUCUUGGUAUUUGAUAGCUUUCCUACAGUUUGGUUCAAAAGCUACCUCGAUAUCAUUAAGUUAUGUUGCAGUGUUCAGUAUUUGAGUCUGUUCAGCAGGGACACUUGAAAAAUCACCAGCUAUUUUUAAAAGCUUGUUUGUUUUCACCAGCUGUUUUGGGUUAAGAGGGUGUUUACAUCUUGAUGUACAGAAUGAAACAGCUAUAAGUAAUUUUUCCUGUAUACACUGCCAUCUUUCAUUACUUGGAAUGUCAUCCCCGAGAAGGUACAUGACAGCCAUGAUGUUAUGGUCCUAGAGAAUCUGUUCAGUGUCCUUGUGAGGUGUGUGUGGCUGUGUUCAUCCUGUGUGGAUGCAAUGGAGUAGCCUCGACUUACGUGUCCCAUAGCUAAGCACAUGUGUUCUAAUCAUGCCUCGGGCUCUUUGACUCUAUUUGUGCAACAGUCUUUCCCAGUGUGUGUUAAUGGAUGUUUAUCUUAAUUAAGCCAGCUCUGAAAUGCUGCCUGUUGGCUGUGCCAAGAACAGACAAUGUCAUAAUCUAAAAGUAUUUGCUUACUUUAUUGGUCUGGGUUUGAAACAUUCAUACUGAGUCUUUCCCUGAAAGAACAACAUGCCAAGAAAAGCAUUAACAAAAUCUGUUAACAAAAUCUGAACAGAAAGGGAGACAGACCAGAGUAGUGAAGUACAAAGAAGGGCUCGGAGGGUGUGACUCGGUGUCCAGAAGCUAGGGUCAGAAGGGAGCAAGUUAGACAGGGUCCUGUCAAAGAUAAAACAAAUUCCAGAUAAGACCUCUUGUUCUGAUGAAUUUGGUAAAAAUGUUCUUACUUGGGGUCCUGGGGGCGCUAAAAUGAGCAGAACUCCUAAACAGACACUGUAUUUGCACAUUGUGUGGAUUAUCUAUUUGUUGCAGGUUUCCAUUUCUCUCUCUCUCUCCCUCUCCCUCCCUCCCCCCCCCCUCUCUCUCUGUCGUGUGUGUGUGUGUGUGUGUGUGUGUGUGUGUGUGUGUGUGUGUGUGUGUGCGCGCGCGCGUAUGCAUGAUCAUGUGUGGGGAUUUUAUUUUGCUCCUAUAAUUAAGAAUUCUUGCCCUGAGCUAAGAACACAUACCUGUUAAAGCUUGAAAAUCCGUUUGAGACAAGUGAAUUAUGGAGAACUUUUACCCAGUUGUAAUUUAGAAAACAGAUGUUCUAUUCCAGGUUUACUACAAUUAUUUUUGCAAUGUAGGUUGUUUUGCACACCUGACUCAAGCCUGGAAGAGUACAUUUUGGUUAGGUCAUGUCAGGAAUGUCUCUCAGCUGUGGCUUUGCCAGGCUCUACAGAGGCCCCUCUGGUGCAGACCCAGGGUGACUUCUCUGUGCUCUUGUAGUGUGCUGAGGCCCAGAUGGAUACUUACUUGGCUUAACCUAAGGACACACUCUGAACUGCUGGAUUUCCAGGGGAGCAUGUGGAGUAUGUGCUUGUCACUCGCUAUUCAACAAACUGAAGUCACUUUGUUAGAGCUGCCAUGAAGUUAAAGAAUAAAUAAAUAAUUUCAAAAGCAUCCACCAUGUGACCAAAGUGAACACUUCGGCUCACCACAGACCACAGGUCACUCCUGAGUGCUGCACUCUACGUCAUGGUCAGGGUCUCUUAGUCUUUUUCUCCACUGCUCGAGGAAGUGGAACCAUAAACACUGGUGAGUAGAACCUGUUCUGUUGUUCAAGUUGGAUUUAAUAAUUUAAUAAUAUCCUCACUGAAGAUCAGCAAGAGAAUCCCCUGCAACCCUAAGGGUUCUGAAUGGGUUAGUGAGGACCAAGCAGGCAGGAGUGCGGCAAAAAUAUGUAAGUGCCACUUGCGAGAGGCGUUUGAUCAUGUUCAUCCUGCUCUGGGGCUGCUGGCUGAUAGCAGCCCCUGCUGCUGACUCUUAAGUCAUGUCCAGGAACCUCUAGGCAGGUGAAAUUCAGUAAGUGUUGGCCCCUGUGUGCUUGGAAGCCAUAUGCAUCCUGUUUAUAAUAGUGGCUGUGAUUGACACAUUGGUACCUGGUGUCCUGUGCUUUGGCAAUGCUGGUGUGUAAACAGUUACCUCUGCACACCUGAGAGACUCUAAGAGACUACAGAGAGGAGUUCCUGGAUCAGUACUGUAGCAUCACAAAUCCUUCCUAGCAUUGCCUUGGCAACAAACAGUAUUUUCAGCCCAGCCUCACCCCUGGUUCACAUUUGCCCUUUUCUACUGUAUUCCAUGGCACAGCAAUGCAGGCGUCACCCAAGUUCACGGGACUCAGUCAGGGACCAUCUGAGAUCAGGAGACAGGAAUUGUGCCUUCCAUACCCAUGAGGGUCCUCCGACUUCCCCAGCUCUGUCUUGGCCAUCUGACUGUUUUAUGCCAGCGCUCUGUGUCAAGGCUAGGUUACAAACAACCUUGCCUAACGGUGAACAAACAAUAUGUUGCCUUUGUACAUUGCGCUCCAGUAAUGCUUAUCUGUGCCUUUAGUAUUUCUGUGUGGUGUACCUUAAGGCAGCCUGGGAGCAGGAAACACCACCUCAUUUCAUUUGAGAGAACAAAACGUGGGUCAAUAAUGACUUUGGAUGGUACCAUGCCAAUUGGCAGUGGUAUUGAGUUGCCACUUGGGUUUGGGUUUUUAUUUAGAAGUUGGUGCACAUCUGUCUAUGCUGUCUUGUGUCUCAGAAGGGAAAUUCUUGGCAUAUAUAAUAGCAGUAGAGAGAGUAUAGAGCAGACAUAGAAGGAAAAUAGAAUUGUGUGUUCUACAACAUGUCUCUGGGUAUAGCCAUGUUGUCUUCACAGCAAUCUCGAAGGCAUUCUUUCCUACAGAUGAGCUGUCCAAGCCCUAAAGAUGUCACACGGCUUCACCCACAGCCAGUGUGGUCCUUGGUUGGCACCAGGAUUGUAACCCGGAUUGAUCUCACUAAGAACUCAUGCUCUUAGCUACUAGAUAGUCUUAAACCACAUCACAUAGGAGCCUGUAUAACCACAUGUGUAUGCAGGUAUACACUUUUUACAUGCUAAACAGUCAAUGCCAACUUCUGUGGUAAGACAUCCUGAAAGGAAUAAAAUAGUUGGCUAAAAUCCCUGAACUUCUAACCAUAACAGGACAGAUGCUCAAGGGUAUGGGAUUAGAGCACCUAGGUCAAGGCAUCCAGACAUUUUAGUGUUUGUGUUAUUGGUGAGUCACAUGUUACAGGCCCUUGCUUUCCUAAGAUGCUGCCAGAAUACUCUGGUUCUUUGGCUUGGAGUAAUUUUGUGACAAUUCUGCUGAGAGUCUCUAUGUGUGAAAACAGGAAACAGGGAAUAGCUUUCUACCACUGCGACUGCUUGGAUUUAGACUCCCUGGUUCUCUCCUACUUGUGCUGUGAUCUUACAGGUUUCUGAAACCUUUCUGCCUUAGUUUUCUCCUGUGCACACUGAGUAUGGUUGUGAUUGUAAAGUGAAUGGAUAUAGGGAAAGCCCUGGGACCAGCACCAGGCAGAAAGCCAUGGCCACCAUGCUCAUGAAUGUGAUAAAUCUUUGCACAAAGCUCUUUAGAAGCCUUCCCUAGGGGAGGAUUCUGUUGCAAUGUCUAGCAUGCGGUGGUGCCCUAGCCAGACACAUGUGUGGACUUACGGACAGAGCAUACAUCCAAAGAGGGAAAGGAAUUGAGUGACCCAUGCCUGCUGUAUGUCGGGUGCUCUGUUGAGGAAAUAUUUCAUUACACACUUUAAUAACCUGAAGAAGGGAUGUAGUGUUACCGUGAGAGGUAAGCGAUGCCUUUCAGUCUCCCUCCCAGUCUCAAGGCACAGGUAUGCUGGGGAUCCCUGUCCUAUCCAGUAUGGCACAAGAAUCCAGGCAUCAACAGACUUUGCUUUGAAUAUAGCUGUCUGUGUACCUGACAGUCCCGGAUGCUACCUUCCCUGGUGCCUCUGUGAGUCCCUAUUGAUAGGAAGGUGAGAGGGAGGAAGUGAGCAGCCAGCAGCCUGCAGCCUACAGUUCUGUCAACCGAAAGGCAUUCUUGAAAAGUACAAAUAUAGCACGGCUAUAAAAAGAUUAAGGUGCACUGCUCUGAAAACUGAGAACCAGUAGGGAGUGCCAUGGUGGCCAACUGACAAAGUGGAGAAGCAAAUUUUGCAAAACUGGAAAACCAGGGAAAGUCAGGCUAAGUGGAGACGCUGACAAAUCAGACUACAGCUAGCCAGGCCUGAACUAGAGGCUGGCAAGCAGAAAACGGUAAGCGGUGAGGCUCCCUGAGGGAUUCCAGUGAGUUCUCUUUCUUUGGAAGCAUGACAGGGGUCCUGGGGACCAGUGAACUGUCACCAUGGGCUGGGGUGUUUCUGCCCUGCUCACUAGCACUGCAGAACUGAGGUGGAGUGCAGGGAGGCUCCCUCCUUGGCCUGUGGGCUUCCUUUUUAACCUCUACUGUCCUCCUCUCUCCCUUUUCUCCACCACUGUGUGACCUCCCCACCUAGGCCUCCCCAGCCUGUGGUUCAGAGCUUCAAGGCAGAUCUCCCAGUAAGCUGUCCUGCACCGCUGCUACUGAGGACAAAGCAAGCAAAGGUCUUUUCUGACUUUGGUUUAGAGGUAAUCAUACUUCAGGCUUUUACUUCACUGUAAACCCUGCCUGUAGCGUAACAUUAUAAUCUUAAUUCAACUGUUGCUAUUCUGUGUGUGGCCUGGCAUCCAGAAAUUAGGUAAAGAGCUGCACAGAGAGAAUGCCAGAGGGGAAACUUGGAGGCCUGCCAGGCUGCAAUCCUCACGGAACUGUGUUCUUGUAUGGGCUAGAGGCCCUGCAGUGUAUGUAUGGAGUCAGAGAGCACUGGGAAUCAGCUCUACAUCCCACCAUGUGGUUCCAGUGACGGCGCCGUUCUGCUGAGCCAUGGCAACAACUUGCUCACUCACUGUUGCAUCAAGGAGUGACAAGCCUGUUCCCAUAGACCUUGGCUAUGGCAGGACAUUCUGGGUAAAUGGUAAGCUGCUUGUAAACAUCCUAGCAGUCUCGGGUGUACUAAUGUUCCCCUGACCUGCCACCAGCACGGAAGAGAAAAACUUCUCCAAGCAUUCAUGCAUUCAUUCUUUUUAAUGUGACAUUUUGCUUUAGGAGGUGACACAAAACCAUGGUUUUCUGGAGUCGUUUGUUGUCGCUGCUACCAUCCUCUGGCUCAGGAGCAGCUAGGCUUCUUGGCACCACUGCUCAGCAUUCCAUCUCCAGUGUCCAAGCGCUUUCCACCCAGACUGACCACAUCGCCAACCAUGCUGAGCUCAGAUUGCUUCUAUUCCAGAGGCCAUGCCACCAAGACUGCUCAGCUGCCUGCUGGUAGAGUCUGUCAUUCCAUCCAGGGUGUUCCAGUCCAGUUGUUGAGACAGGCGUCCAGGAGAAUACCAAGGACUCUAGCAGGCUGCCUGAACCGAUCCUCACUGAUGAUCUAGACAGAAGGAGUUCAGACCGAAGUCACCACCCAACCAGGUCACUGAAGUUCACAGGAGGAAGCCCUGAAGUCUGGUUUUUCAAGUCCCCUCCUCACACAGCUGGGGCGACAGUUUACACUGAGGUGCCCAAGACUCCACCACACCACUCCAUUAGACCUGGCCUAUGGCCUACAGACUUAUCCCUCCACCAAGAGCCCUGGAGGACAAGAGUGGGGACAAGAGAGGAAAAGAUGGCUGGCCAGAGGGAGGGAAGGAAGGAGGCAGAAGGACCAAGGUGAAGAUUCCUGUCUACCAAACUUCUGAUCAACAACCUGAAACGGUACGUUCUAGACUUGAAGAGUUGAGCUUUCUCAACACAAGAGAAGAGGAACUGAAUUCACCUCCCAACAGCCUCAGCAGCAGCUCACAGGUAACUUUAGCUCCAGGGAAUCUAGUGCCUGCUUCUGGCCUCUGAAGGCAGCCACAUUCACAUGCAUGGGGGCAGACACCACAUGUAUGUCAACCUAAAAGCCAAGCCUCCCCACCCCCAAGAAUAAAGUCUCUUUGAAAUUUAGAAAAAAUAACCUUUAAGAGUAUUCUAGCUGUGGUGUGCUUUAAAAAAUUAUUGUGGCUUUUUUUUUUAAAUCACUACAUAGCUCAGACUAGUCUUGAAUUCUAUCCUCCUGCUGCAGUCUUCCAAGUGCUGGGAUGACAGACUUGUGCCAGAAUACUCUCUAUUGUAAUUUUUUUAUUGUUGUAGCAAAAAUACGACACAUUUUGCCAUCUUAAUGUGGCAUUUGUUACAGGCACAGCAUUGGAUGAGCAUCACUGCUACCAUUUCCAAAACUCUUUCAUUGCUCUGAAUGGAAACACAUAGACCAGAAACUCCCAUCCUGCCACCUUUAAUCUACUUUUUGUCUUACAAGUUUGUCAAUCACAGAUAAUUCCAUAUUUGAAAUAAUAUACUAUAUGAAGGGGGCCGCCUGGCUUCUUUCACUCAGCACUGUCUCCAAGGCUCAGUCACGAUGUAGCAUGUGACAGGACAUGGCUCUUCCAUGCACUCAAACACUAGUUUAUCAUGGUUACCUGCCAUGUUUAUGACUUGUCGUCUGAAGAUGGGCAUCGAGUUGCCUCAUUAUUAUAUGCAGGGUUGAAGACAGUAAACUGUCUGCGAGGCUUUGACAGCAACACAGCCAAACCAGAACUACUGACCAGAGGACCAUCAGGGUCACAGCCUUGAAGGAGAGACAACACCCACCCUUCAACAUAGCAAAGCACCCAACCAUCUUCUCGGGAAGACAGAACCACCUUUAACCCACACACACAACUCCUAAGGUCCCUACCAGAUGCUCCACCAAGGCUUUUGUCUGUGAGGCAACUAAGCAAAUAGAUUAGUGAAGGGCCCUGUUUGGAGAGUGGAGAGUCCUUGACUGUUCACUGAUGGAGACAAUGGAAGGAGACAAUAGGAAGGAAAGGGGACAGAAGCCCUGGGUCAACUACUCCUUAGAAAUACAGCCUGGACAGGAAACUUGGUAUGCCCAAGAGAAAACCAAGAUAAAAGAGAACAGGAAGCCAAGCUCUUGGGCGUCAGCCUCGUGGCCAUUCUAAAACUCUGCGCCUCAAUGGAGCCAUAUCCCUUAUCUGCAUACUCUAGACUCAUCUCUAAUCUCAGAGAAUGUCUCUUCUCCACGUGCACUCUCUACCGAAUGCUCACUGACCGAUCCUCUGUUUCAGGCUCUGGCUAGCAGCCCUCUUAUCACACCUGACACUGAAGCAGCAAUGACAAUCUUGUCACAAAGACUAACAAGGGCUUAAUGAGGCAGCCAAUAGGAACAGCCUGGACUCCAGUUGGGCGUGAAGUCAGUUCCAGUUGUGGACCAGCACUGCGUACUCCUGUGUCCAUCACCUGAGCGAACUGUGAUGCUCAGGUCUUGGCAAUGUCCCCUGCCACUGGGAGGAAGCCCUCUGGGCGGCAUGUCAGGGAG